GUGGGGAAUAUUGGGCAAUGGGGGAAACCCUGACCCAGCAACGCCGCGUGAAGGAAGAAGGCUUUCGGGUUGUAAACUUCUUUGACCAGGGACGAAACAAAUGACGGUACCUGGAAAACAAGCCACGGCUAACUACGUGCCAGCAGCCGCGGUAAUACGUAGGUGGCAAGCGUUGUCCGGAUUUACUGGGUGUAAAGGGCGCGUAGGCGGGAUGGCAAGUCAGAUGUGAAAUGCCGGGGCUUAACCUCGGCACUGCAUUUGAAACUGCUGUUCUUGAGUAUCGGAGAGGCAGGCGGAAUUCCUAGUGUAGCGGUGAAAUGCGUAGAUAUUAGGAGGAACACCAGUGGCGAAGGCGGCCUGCUGGACGACAACUGACGCUGAUGCGCGAAAGCGUGGGGAGCAAACAGGAUUAGAAACCCCAGUAGUCC
rnacentral:rRNA from 1 species